rnacentral:rRNA from 1 species
AAAGACCUUACGCUUUUGGAGUGGCCGAUGUCUGAUUAGCUAGUUGGUAAGGUAAAGGCUUACCAAGGCGACGAU